UACGGGGAGGGCGUGUGUUAUUCAGCGUUACUGGGCGUAAAGGGCAUCUAGGCUGUUUAAUAAGUUCUUUGUAAAAGCUUAUGGCUUAACCGUAAAAGAUAUAAAGAAUACUGUUGAACUUGAGUAUAGAGGAAGAUAGCGAUACUUUUAAAGGAGAGGUAGAAUGCUGCGAUAAUAAAAGGGUCAUCAACUAGCGAAGGCGGCUAUCUAUUUUAUUACUGACGCUGACGUGCGAAAGCGUGGGUAGCAAACAGG
rnacentral:rRNA from 1 species